rnacentral:misc_RNA from 1 species
GAAAUGCGAUAAGUAAUGUGAAUUGCAGAAUUCAGUGAAUCAUCGAAUCUUUGAACGCACAUUGCGCCCGUCAGUAUUCUGGCGGGCAUGCCUGUUCGAGCGUCAUUACAACCCUCAGGCCCCCGGGCCUGGCGUUGGGGAUCGGCGGAAGCCCCCUGCGGGCACAACGCCGUCCCCCAAAUACAGUGGCGGUCCCGCCGCAGCUUCCAUUGCGUAGUAGCUAACACCUCGCAACUGGAGAGCGGCGCGGCCACGCCGUAAAACACCCAACUUCUGAAUGUUGACCUCGAAUCAGGUAGGAAUACCCGCUGAACUUAAGC